UGAGGAAUAUUGGUCAAUGGGGGAAACCCUGAACCAGCGACGCCGCGUGUAGGAUGAAGGGGCUUUGCCCUGUAAACUACUGUUGGGAGGGAUGAAAAGUUUGCUCGGCAAACUGGGACUGUACCUCCAAAGAAAGGAUCGGCUAACUACGUGCCAGCAGCCGCGGUAAUACGUAGGAUCCGAGCGUUGUCCGGAAUUACUGGGUAUAAAGGGUGCGUAGGCGGGCUUGUGCGUCAGGGGUUAAAUCCCACGGCUUAACCGUGGAGCUGCCCUUGAUACGGCAAGUCUUGAGUGUGAGAGAGGAAGGUAGAAUUCUUGGUGUAGCGGUGAAAUGCGUAGAUAUCAAGAGGAAUACCAGUGGCGAAGGCGGCCUUCUGGCUCAUCACUGACGCUGAGGCAC
rnacentral:rRNA from 1 species